rnacentral:rRNA from 1 species
GAUAGAGCCUUCCCCUUCGGGGGACAAAGUGACAGGUGGUGCAUGGUUGUCGUCAGCUCGUGUCGUGAGAUGUUGGGUUAAGUCCCGCAACGAGCGCAACCCUUAAGCUUAGUUGCCAUCAUUAAGUUGGGCACUCUAAGUUGACUGCCGGUGACAAACCGGAGGAAGGUGGGGAUGACGUCAAAUCAUCAUGCCCCUUAUGAUUUGGGCUACACACGUGCUACAAUGGACAAUACAAAGGGCAGCGAAACCGCGAGGUCAAGCAAAUCCCAUAAAGUUGUUCUCAGUUCGGAUUGUAGUCUGCAACUCGACUACAUGAAGCUGGAAUCGCUAGUAAUCGUAGAUCAGCAUGCUACGGUGAAUACGUUCCCGGGUCUUGUACACACCGCCCGUCACACCACGAGAGUUUGUAACACCCGAAGCCGGUGGAGUAACCUUUUAGGAGCUAGCCGUCGAAGGUGGGACAAAUGAUUGGGGUGAAGUCGUAACAAGGUAGCCGUAUCGGAAGGUGCGGCUGGAUCACCUCCUUU